CCUACGGGGCGCAGCAGUGGGGAAUAUUGGGCAAUGGGCGCAAGCCUGACCCAGCAACGCCGCGUGAAGGAAGAAAGCCCUCGGGUUGUAAACUUCUUUUAUUCGGGACGAAACAAAUGACGGUACCGAAUGAAUCAGCCACUGCUACCUACGUGCCAGCCGCCGCGGUAAUACGUAGGUGGCAAGCGUUAUCCGGAUUUACUGGUGGUAAAGGGCUGGUAGGCGGGAGAGCAAGUCAGACGUGAAAGUCCAGGGCUCAACCCUGGAACUGCGUUUGAAACUGUGCUUCUUGAGUGAGGGAGAGGCAGGGGGAAUUCCGGGUGUAGCGGUGAAAUGCGUAGAUAUACGGAGGAACACCAGUGGCGAAGGCGGCCUGCUGGACAGUAACUGACGCUGAGGCGCGAAAGCGGGGGGAGCAAACAGGAUUAGAUACCCCGGUAGUC
rnacentral:rRNA from 1 species